CGAGAAAGCCCGCAAGGGUGAGUAAAGUGGCGUACGGGUGAGUAACACGUGGGUAAUCUACCUUUUGGUGGGGAAUAACCCUGGGAAACCGGGGCUAACACCGCAUAAGCUCGACAGAGGAAAAGAGAAAUCUGCCGAAAGAGGAGCCCGCGGCUGAUUAGCUAGUUGGUGAGGUAAAGGCUCACCAAGGCGAAGAUCGGUAGCCGGCCUGAGAGGGCACACGGCCACACUGGCACUGAAACACGGGCCAGACUCCUACGGGAGGCAGCAGUGGGGAAUCUUGCACAAUGGGGGAAACCCUGAUGCAGCGACGCCGCGUGAGCGAUGAAGCCCUUCGGGGUGUAAAGCUCUUUCGGCAGGAACGAUAAUGACGGUACCUGAAGAAGAAGCUGCGGCUAACUACGUGCCAUCAGCCGCGGUAAUACGUAAGCAGCGAGCGUUG
rnacentral:rRNA from 1 species